rnacentral:rRNA from 1 species
ACAGUUGGAAACGACUGGUAAUACCGCAUAAGCGCACAGUAUCGCAUGAUACGGUGUGAAAAACUGAGGUGGUAUAAGAUGGACCCGCGUCUGAUUAGCUGGUUGGUGAGGUAACGGCCCACCAAGGCGACGAUCAGUAGCCGACCUGAGAGGGUGAUCGGCCACACUGGGACUGAGACACGGCCCAGACUCCUACGGGAGGCAGCAGUAGGGAAUCUUCCACAAUGGGUGAAAACCUGAUGGAGCAAUGCCGCGUGAAUGAAGAAGGUCUUCGGAUCGUAAAGUUCUGUUAUUAGAGAAGAACAAGUCAAGGAGUAACUGUCUUGACUUUGACGGUACCUAACCAGAAAGUCACGGCUAACUACGUG